UUUCCGUAGGUGAACCUGCGGAAGGAUCAUUAUUGAAGUUUGCUUGAGGGGAUGUUUUGCUGGCUUUCCGGAGCACUUGUGCACGCCCUUCUCUCACUUUACUCCAUCCACCUGUGCACAUAUUGUAGGUUUCCGGAUACCUCUCAGCCUUUCCGGGCUGGUAUUGGAUGAUCGCUUUCGGGCUUUUAUCCGAUUUCCGGAAACUCUAUGUUCUUUACACAAACUAUAAUACAUUUAUAAGAAUGAUCAUUGGUCGCAGGACCUUUAAACUAUAAUACAACUUUCAACAACGGAUCUCUUGGCUCUC
rnacentral:misc_RNA from 1 species